UUUUAUGGUGGCCGUGCGCAGGGCGCCUUCGAGCGCGCCGGUUUUUCCGAAUGUACCGGUCGACUAACCUGCGCACGGCUGCCUCCCAU
rnacentral:antisense_RNA from 1 species